UUUAAGUAUAGUAUUUUAUUUUAUUUUUAUUUGUGCUAUUUCUUAUUACUACAAGAAAGCACAUUGUGUUUGUACUAAUGGACAGUAUGGAGAACUAGAAGACUAUAAUUUAAAUGGGCAUACACAGAAACAAUCACAUACAUUCACAUUAAAGAUGGUGUCGGUUUAACACUUAUCUUAUUAUUAUCCACAAAAAGAUACAUAAAAAAAAUAUAUAAUACUAUAUAAUAGGAUAUGAAAAAAAAUAGGAAAAUCAGUGACAUUUGUUAGAUGGGCAUAGACAUCAACAGUCACAUACAUUCACAUUAAAGAUAGUGUCGGUUUAACACUUAUCUUAUUAUUAUCUACAAAAAAAUCCACGAAUAAACUAUAUAAUAUUAUAUAAUAUGGUAUGAAGAAAAGUAGAUAAAUAUGCAUUGGCAUUCAAAGUGAUCUCAAUACAAUACAGGUUUUAUUGGUAUGCACAGGGAAAUAU